AUACGUAGGGGGCGAGCGUUGUCCGGAAUGAUUGGGCGUAAAGGGCGCGUAGGCGGCGCGGUAAGUCUGGAGUGAAAGUCCUGCUUUCAAGGUGGGAAUUGCUUUGGAUACUGCCGCGCUUGAGUGCAGGAGAGGUUAUCGGAAUUCCCGGUGUAGCGGUGAAAUGCGUAGAGAUCGGGAGGAACACCAGUGGCGAAGGCGGGUAACUGGACUGCAACUGACGCUGAGGCGCGAAAGUGUGGGGAGCAAACAGGAUUAGAUGCCCUGGUAGUCCACACUGUAAACGAUGAAUGCUAGGUGUAAGAGGUAUCGACCCCUUUUGUGCCGGAGUCAACACAAUAAGCAUUCCGCCUGGGGAGUACGGCCGCAAGGUUGAAACUUAAAGGAAUUGACGGGG
rnacentral:rRNA from 1 species